rnacentral:rRNA from 1 species
AUGACUGAUGGUACCAAGUUCAUCUUGUUUCUCCUCUUGAGCAGCUCAUCAUUGUGUUUUGGCUCUGAUCUUGAUAUCCAGUGCCUGAGGUCUUUAAAACAAUCAGUGAUUGAUUCCAAUGGUGUACUCAAUUCCUCUUGGGAUUUUGACAACUUGGACCGACCUAGCUCCGUUGGGUCCAUAUGCCGAUUUAUUGGUGUGGACUGCUGGCAUCCCGAUGAGAACAGGGUUCUUUCUCUGCGACUCGGCAAUCUAGGACUUGAAGGCCCAUUUCCUGAAGGUCUUCAAGAUUGCACAAGCAUGAGCGGCCUGGACCUGUCGGAUAGCAAAUUUUCAGGACCGAUUCCCUAUGACAUCGCACAGCAGAUGCCAUAUCUGACAUAUCUGGAUCUCUCAAACAAUAGCUUUACAGGUGAAAUCCCUCAAAGUAUCACAAAUUUGGCAUACCUGAAUGUAUUGAAACUUCAACAUAACCAACUCAGCGGUCAAAUUCCAGAGCGGUUCAACAUGCUCAGUCGGUUAACCACGUUCAGUGUUGUAGAUAACUUCUUGUCGGGGCCUAUUCCUACUUUUGCACAUGUCUUCUCGCCUUUAUACUUUACUGGUAACCGGGGCCUUUGCGGUGCACCAUUGGACGAGUGCCCCCGGAGUCGAAAAUGGAGGCUGAUACCAAUCAGGCUGCGUAGGAUCAACGAAGAGUCCAGUAUCGGAGCGGCUGUCGGGUUCGUCCUAGGGUUCGUGGUGGCCUUCUACUUCCACUUGUUCUGCUCCAAGAGGCUCCUUCCUUGUGUCUUUCGCGCAUGA